AACCCUCAUGUUCAACCAAGGGCAGGGUAGUCUUCAGUUGGUUUGAACUCGCAUUCAAUUUUUAGAAAUAAAACAUCCCAUCAAGUGAUCAAUCAUAUUGUAUCCCUCUCAAGAGGAUGGAAUCACAAAUUCAAAAUGGUUAUCCCUUAUCUACAAAAGGAGUGAGAUAGUCAGGACCCGUGCAAUAAAUCAAACAAGCAGAAUAUCACAUGAUUUGCUCCGAUACAAAAAAUGAAAAAAAAAUC
rnacentral:lncRNA from 1 species